CAGUGGUCUGACGACUUGACCAAACCAAACCGUGAACCCACCAUCAAAAAAAGGAUGCUUCGGCGGGUCGCUCGCUGGGGGAGCCCCGGGCCGCUUUGACGGUGGCCCGCCGGAAGCAUGUCGAACCAAAAAAUCUUUUUACAAAAACUUCUGAAAAACAACUUUUUAAAAGAAUUA
rnacentral:misc_RNA from 1 species